CCUACGGGUGGCAGCAGUGGGGAAUAUUGGACAAUGGGCGAAAGCCUGAUCCAGCCAUGCCGCGUGUGUGAAGAAGGCCUUCGGGUUGUAAAGCACUUUCAGUGGGGAAGAAAGCCUUGGGGCUAAUACCCUCGAGGAAGGACAUCACCCACAGAAGAAGCACCGGCCAACUCCGUGCCAGCAGCCGCGGUAAUACGGAGGGUGCGAGCGUUAAUCGGAAUUACUGGGCGUAAAGCGCGCGUAGGCGGUCUGAUAAGCCGGUUGUGAAAGCCCCGGGCUCAACCUGGGAACGGCAUCCGGAACUGUCAGGCUAGAGUGCAGGAGAGGAAGGUAGAAUUCCCGGUGUAGCGGUGAAAUGCGUAGAGAUCGGGAGGAAUACCAGUGGCGAAGGCGGCCUUCUGGACUGACACUGACGCUGAGGUGCGAAAGCGUGGGUAGCAAACAGGAUUAGAUACCCUGGUAGUC
rnacentral:rRNA from 1 species